UUGGGCCAACGAGGAGAGGAUGAAGAGACGGGUCUCAUCAUUGCCAUGGUUGCCCUCGUCUUCGAUCUGGAAAGAGUCCACAAAAAAUAAGGAAAAAUUAUUAGCAACAAAUCGACGCAACUUAACACAGUCUAAAGUGUCCCUGCCUUUCGGCUGUCACAUGGAUUUCAGAUUCGGAUUCCGCUUCAGCUUCAGGAUUUGGCUUUUGUCUUUUGCUCUUUUCAUUGAGCCACAGAAGAAAAAGAAGAAGCCUUCCGAAUUAUACUGGAAAUUUAAGACGAAACCCCGAACCAUCCAACCAACGAACGAAUUCAGAGCAGUGCCUUUCUUUUUUGUAACAACUUCUGUGACCGGCGACGGUUUUGCAAGGAAGUGCCACUAAAUUGUGGCAGAUAACAACUACUAAAAGGCAGUCAAAGUCUUCAAUAGGAAUCCCUUAAACAAAAAAAAAAACAAGCAGCAUUUUUGUAUAUAUGUAAGUUUGCUUUUUGGCUGGUACAACAGUGCGUAUGAUGAAUGGUUAAAGUUGAACUACCUGAGCUCUCAGCUGCUGUUGUUGAUUUGCACGUGUGAACUGAGCAGCAGAAGAGAAGAGACAACGAACUCGAAACGAAAAGCAAUGAAAUGAGCUGCUGAAAAUGGCAAUUUAAGUGACUGUCGAGUGUCGAGGAGAAGACGGAGAAUUGUUUGCCAGAUGCCAGGAUAAAAGCUCACAAGCAAACACAACACACACAUGCCACAUGAACCAUCCGGAAUACUCAAAAAAAGGAAAACCCCAAACACAACGCAAUAAAUGCAAAAUAUUCAAAACACAAAAAGGGAAGCUAACCAGCAAGAUGAACAGCAAUAAUAAGGAUAAAGAGGUGAGAGGCACAAGCUGGAAAUGCAUCAAAGUGGAAGACGUCGCUCAAGUGGAAGCAACGGCGGAAAACUCGUGGAAAACCCGUGCCACAGGCAAAGAGCAAAAAAAAAAAGUCAUUAAAAUCGCAUAAAAGUGAAGCCCAGGAAGAAGAGGUCCAAACACGGGCUUUGACACGGUCGGUCACUGGCCAGAAUGAUUAAUUGUUCUACCAGACAGAGUGAGUUACCCCUCUUCUCCUCCAGUUUUUUAUUUAUUUCUUUGCAAUGACCUCUCUUUCCCUUUGAUUUAAAUGCCGCAGUAUCAAAAAGUCAUAAAAUCCCCUCACCUCAAUUUAAAUUAAUGACAAAAAUGUUUGACAAAAUCAUUAAACGUGUGCAAGCUUACAAAAAA